UACGUAGGGGCAAGCGUUGUCCGGAUUCAUUGGGCGUAAAGCGCGUGUAGGCGGCCAGGUAGGUCCGAUGUGAAAUCUGGAGGCUCAACCUCCAGCGGUCAUUGGAAACCAUCUGGCUAGAGUCCGGAAGAGGAGAGUGGAAUUCCUGGUGUAGCGGUGAAAUGCGCAGAUAUCAGGAAGAACACCUAUGGCGAAAGCAGCUCUCUGGGACGGUACUGACACUAAGGCGCGAAAGCGUGGGGAGCGAACAGG
rnacentral:rRNA from 1 species